ensembl:lncRNA
AUGCCCUUGUUGCAUAACCUGAGUACUGGGGAGGGAAUUGCCGUGUUAUUCAGUGUAAUGGAUUUGGGAGGAAUGGGGAACAAUACAAAGCUAGCAAUCUGCACUAUUUGAAAAAUGCUGUUUGGCGUGGAAGAAAUUAUGGAUGCAGUAAGAUCUCCCUAUUCUCACCCAGUGUCUCACAAUUCCAUUUAUGUUUGUUUAAGUUGUAGAAUAACAAAGCUGAGCCUUCGGCCCUCACUGUGAAAACAAAACCAGACCGAAAUGCCCGAGGUCAGAUUUUUAAGAUUUAUUCCACACAAAGAGUCAUUGACAAAAAUAUAUGUAAUUUGGCUCAUUAGCAUUAGCCAUCGCACACCCACUUUCGUUUUAUUUAUCACUGGAGGAAGAGCAAUGCCAUAAUAAACAGUGCUGGGAGAUUUCCAGCAGAACAGGUUUUUGUCAGAGGAUGCUGAUUUGUCGUAAGCAAAAUAUUUCGCAGAAGCACAUCUGUUUGGGUGAACUUCCGCUGCAGCCCAGGCAGGUUUCCAUCACUGUCCUGCCUGACUUCCGGCCAGCCUGCCUGGCCGCUCUCCAGGCUCCGGGACGGCUUGGGACUCAACCUGGGAUUCUUUCUGAUUUCUUGUUUUGUUUUGUUUUUUUUUCCCCUCUCUUUUGAAACGAGAGGUAAAAGGUCUUGGAAGAAAUAUAAACCAGCCCUGCAUGCCUUUUUCCAAUUGUUCAGCAUUCGUUUUGUGGGGGUUUUUUUAAUAAUGAUGACAUUGCACAGCACAUCUUGAUUUGUUACAUGGGAGAGCCAGAAUAGCUUUCCUCCCUGAUGAAGGUUAAGCUGCCCUAGAAGUGAAACAGUUUUCAUGCCAUGUUGAGCUUCAUUUCAGAGCAUUUCCUGGAGAACUGGUGCCAGUAUCUUCUCCUCCUCCCUAUUUUCUAAACACUUAAUUGCAUCGCAGUCCCUCUGAAACAGCAGUGCCUUUCUGCUCUGUCUCCUUCACUUGCUUCUCCCAGCCUGGUCUCUAAUUCAGAGGCUGCAUCUACCUCUCAUAUGACUUCUGGACACUUGCAGUUGCUGGUCAUCAUGGUUGACAACAGGUGGUUUCCUGGGACCUCGGGCACCAGAUUUACUCUAGAAAUCCACCUCAGUGGCCGGCUGCUUGUGUAUUAGCUCUGCUGCUGCUUCCUGCUUUAUCUGCCCCAUUUUUAUUGGAUACUUCCUUGCACUUCAGCCUGCACCCGCUGGGUGGUUGUUUGGGGUUUUUCUUUACAGUGGGGUUAUCUGCAAGCAGAACCCUGUGCAGAAGUGUGCCCAGGAUCUUAGGCUUCAUAGAUGAAGCAAAUUCUCUUCCACCUCUGAGCUCAGGUUACAGGCAUUCAGCUUUAUCUGCCUUUGUACUCCAGGCUCAACACUUCUUUCUUUCAACUCUCCUAUAGUUGUUGCUUUUUUUCUUUUUUCUUUUUUUCCCUUCAGACCAUAAGUUUCAUCAGUAUUUGUGUACUUGGAUUAACUCGGCCUUGAAAAGCAGCUGACUAAGAAGCAUUUGGUCAAAAUCGAGAAGAUCUGACAGAGCUGCCCACCUGUGCCACAUUUCUGUUGCCAGCAGAACGUGAACCACUAUGAAAUGAUACAUGGGUGAGUACCACCAAACCUGGUGCUACUGAGUAGUACUGGGGAAAAAAAAAUAAAGGAGGGAAAAAAAAGGAAAAAAAAAAAAAAAAAAGAAGAAGAGUGGAGUGCUGGCCUGCAUGCCUAGCCAACGCACUACCUGCAUGCUUUGUGUUGCCCUUUUUGCCCUCCUGCAAGCUUAGUUUCAUCCUCUAUAACAGAGAGCCCUACAGCUGUUAUAGAUCUGCUGUGGAAAAAGCCUGCUCACUCUGUGUGCCCUGAGGAACAAUUUGGGGAACUCAGGUAUGAGCUCCAUUCAGACAAGAGUUUAUUUUGUACUAACAGAAGUCAAAAGAAAACAAAGCCUCCUGAAUAAAUGCAUUUCCGUAGUAGCUGUUAAGUAUAUUAAAGUCAUUCCAAAGUAAUUGCUAAUUAUAUUACUUUAUUACAAGGCACAAUUAAAUAUGUGCUUGAGGUCAUCCAGCUAUUUGCUGUUUCAAGGAAAGCACUUGAGUCAAAAGGAUUUCCUAAAUGGAGUCAUUCAGUGUUUUAUUUCUCCGACUUCAGGAAUUAUUCUAGAUAUGAAUAAUUGGACAUUGAAUAAUCAGUGAAAUACUAUUUCCAUAAAUUGUUUGUGCUUUACAUAAAAUGAGCAACAUGCUUCACAGGGCACAUUUGUUCUUUCUUUGCAGCACCCUGCACGCACCAUAUUGGCACCACACGUGCUGCAUUUUAUGGUGGGUUUGGUCUGGGAUGAGUUGUGUGUUUCUAUUUCCAAAUAGUAAUUCACACAAACCAACACAGUUAAUUCUCACUUCUACUGAAAUUAAAAGGAGCUGAGAAAAGGAAUUCACACCUAAAUCCAGAGGUUAGACUCACAGGCUCUAAGUUAGGCACCUAUUAAGAGAAAGAACUAGUCAGAGAGAAAAUCUAGCUUCUAGCAUCAAAAGCUGAAUGCCUGCCAUCACAGGCUGGUUCAGUCAAGGCUGACAGUCAUGAUCCUCAAAAUUCAUGGCUAACUGUGACCUGUCAUGGAGAAAUACAUUUCCAUUACACUUUGCAAGCACCUGCACACCAGCAUCGAGCUGAGCUCCAUCUCAACCAAAGCCCUGACGCCAGCAUGUUUCAUGAUCCUUGGCCUCCUCCACUGAGCAAUCUUCGCAUUUACUUCACAGACAUAAAACAGCCCUGAGACAGAGGGUCCCCUCCCACUACUUUGAUUCAGAUCAUCAGUGGGAGCUGGAAAACCAAGGCUGGGGCUCCUGCUUUCAUAAAUACUUAUUUCUGCCACAUGGGAAAGGUUGGAUCAAAGGAUCAGAGAAGCCUUUCCCAUUUCUUUUUCCUCCCUUUUUUCUCAUAAAAAGACAGGCUACAGUCAAAUUCUGUUCCAGGUCAAGUGGAAAAAGGCUGUGAACCUGCAUCUUUAGAGGAAGAAAGCACUUAUAAAAGGAAAAAAAGUUUCCCAUCCUUUCUUCCCAGUUCAAGAAGAAACCUCACUGGCACUAAGCCCCCUGAGGAUGCCUCUGCCUUGCUGUCUCAGUGUCCCAAGUCAUGAAGUGGCUCGCAGUGGCCCAGUUGGCCCAGUUUCAAAAUGUCUUAGGUAUCUGCCUUUUUUUGGUACUUCUCUCUCCUAUUACACUAUGUAGAAAGUCCAUCUGCUGAACUCGGGAUUCUUGUUACAGGGAAGAACAUGAGGAACUGGCUAAGCAAUGCUGAACGCUAAUCUCCAUUUUCCACUCUCGUCUGCAUCAUCUACAGUCCAAAGGUCAACCAGAUAGGCCUUUUGUG